rnacentral:rRNA from 1 species
UACGAAGGGGGCUAGCGUUGUUCGGAAUUACUGGGCGUAAAGGGCGCGUAGGCGGCGUGGUAAGUCACUUGUGAAAUCUCUGAGCUUAACUCAGAACGGCCAAGUGAUACUGCUGUGCUAGAGUGGCAGAAGGGGCAAUCGGAAUUCUUGGUGUAGCGGUGAAAUGCGUAGAUAUCAGGAGGAACAUCGAUGGCGAAGGCAGCCCCUUGGACCUGUACUGACGCUCAUGCACGAAAGCGUGGGGAGCAAACAGG